rnacentral:rRNA from 1 species
AGAGUUUGAUCCUGGCUCAGGAUGAACGCUAGCGGCAGGCCUAACACAUGCAAGUCGAGGGGUAGAGGGUGCUUGCACCCUUGAGACCGGCGCACGGGUGCGUAACGCGUAUGCAACCUACCUAUUGCAGGGGAAUAGCCCAGGGAAACUUGGAUUAAUGCCCCAUAGUCCAUAUUGAGAGCAUUCGAUGUAUGGUAAAGAUUUAUCGGCAAUAGAUGGGCAUGCGUCCCAUUAGCUAGUUGGUGUGGUAACGGCACACCAAGGCUACGAUGGGUAGGGGCCCUGAGAGGGGGAUCCCCCACACUGGUACUGAGACACGGACCAGACUCCUACGGGAGGCAGCAGUGAGGAAUAUUGGACAAUGGGCGAGAGCCUGAUCCAGCCAUGCCGCGUGCAGGAAGAAGGCCCUAUGGGUUGUAAACUGCUUUUUUACGGGAAGAAACACCCCCUCGUGAGGGGGCUUGACGGUACCGUACGAAUAAGGACCGGCUAACUCCGUGCCAGCAGCCGCGGUAAUACGGAGGGUCCGAGCGUUAUCCGGAAUCAUUGGGUUUAAAGGGUCCGUAGGCGGGCGUCUAAGUCAGUGGUGAAAUUCUGCAGCUCAACUGUAGGACUGCCAUUGAUACUGGUCGCCUUGAAUCGUUGUGAAGUGGCUAGAAUAUGUAGUGUAGCGGUGAAAUGCUUAGAUAUUACAUAGAAUACCGAUUGCGAAGGCAGGUCACUAACAACGCAUUGACGCUGAUGGACGAAAGCGUGGGGAGCGAACAGGAUUAGAUACCCUGGUAGUCG